AGCAGUCGCCACGGGAAUACGUAGGUGGCAAGCGUUGUCCGGAAUUAUUGGGCGUAAAGGGCUCGCAGGCGGUUUCUUAAGUCUGAUGUGAAAGCCCCCGGCUCAACCGGGGAGGGUCAUUGGAAACUGGGAAACUUGAGUGCAGAAGAGGAGAGUGGAAUUCCACGUGUAGCGGUGAAAUGCGUAGAGAUGUGGAGGAACACCAGUGGCGAAGGCGACUCUCUGGUCUGUAACUGACGCUGAGGAGCGAAAGCGUGGGGAGCGAACAGGAUUAGAUACCCGCGUAGUCCCUGUCUCUUAUAC
rnacentral:rRNA from 1 species